CACGUAGGGUCCGAGCGUUGUCCGGAAUUACUGGGCGUAAAGCGUGCGCGGCGGUUGGGUCAGGUGCUGGGGAAAGCCCCACGCUCAACGUGGGAAUGGCCAACGAGACGGCCCGACUGGAGGCAGGGAGAGGCCGGUGGAAUUCCGGGUGUAGUGGUGAAAUGCGUAGAGAUCCGGAGGAACACCAGAGGCGAAGGCGGCCGGCUGGACCUGACCUGACGCUGAGGCACGAAGGCGUGGGGAGCGAACGGG
rnacentral:rRNA from 1 species